rnacentral:rRNA from 1 species
GACGAACGCUGGCGGCGUGCUUAACACAUGCAAGUCGAACGGAAAGGCCCUGCUUUUGUGGGGUGCUCGAGUGGCGAACGGGUGAGUAACACGUGAGUAACCUGCCCUUGACUUUGGGAUAACUUCAGGAAACUGGGGCUAAUACCGGAUAGGAGCUCCUGCUGCAUGGUGGGGGUUGGAAAGUUUCGGCGGUUGGGGAUGGACUCGCGGCUUAUCAGCUUGUUGGUGGGGUAGUGGCUUACCAAGGCUUUGACGGGUAGCCGGCCUGAGAGGGUGACCGGCAACAUGGGGACUGGGAUACGGCCCAGACUCCUACGGGAGGAAGCGGUGGGAAUAUUGCACAAUGGGCGGAAGCCUGAUGCAGCAACGCCGCGUGCGGGAUGACGGCCUUCGGGUUGUAAACCGCUUUCGCCUGUGACGAAGCGUGAGUGACGGUAAUGGGUAAAGAAGCACCGGCUAACUACGUG